rnacentral:rRNA from 1 species
AUUGAACGCUGGCGGAAUGCUUUACACAUGCAAGUCGAACGGCAGCACGGACUUCGGUCUGGUGGCGAGUGGCGAACGGGUGAGUAAUGUAUCGUAUCGUGCCCCGUCGGGGGGGAUCACGUAGUGAAACUUACGCUAAUACCGCAUACGAUCUCUGGAUGAAAGCGGGGGCGCGCAAGCCCUUGCGCGAUUGGAUCGGCCGAUAUGAGAGUAGGUAGUUGGUGGGGUAAAGGCCCACCAAGCCAACGAUCUGUAGCUGGUCUGAGAGGACGAACAGCCACACUGGAACUGAGACACGGUCCAGACUCCUACGGGAGGCAGCAGUGGGGAAUUUUGGACAAUGGGCGAAAGCCUGAUCCAGCCAUGCCGCGUGCAGGAUGAAGGCCCUCGGGUUGUAAACUGCUUUUGUACAGAACGAAGAGGUUUCUACUAAUACUAGGAGCUCAUGACGGUACUGUAAGAAUAAGCACCGGCUAACUACGUGCCAGCCGCCGCAGUAA